rnacentral:rRNA from 1 species
AUUGAACGCUGGCGGCAUGCCUUACACAUGCAAGUCGAACGGUAACGGGCCUUCGGGUGCCGACGAGCGGCGAACGGGUGAGUAAUGUAUCGGAACGUACCUUUCAGUGGGGGAUAACGUAGCGAAAGUUACGCUAAUACCGCAUAUUCUGUGAGCAGGAAAGCAGGGGAUCGCAAGACCUUGCGCUGAUUGAGCGGCCGAUAUCAGAUUAGCUAGUUGGUAAGGUAAAGGCUCACCAAGGCGACGAUCUGUAGCGGGUCUGAGAGGAUGAUCCGCCACACUGGAACUGGGACACGGUCCAGACUCCUACGGGAGGCAGCAGUGGGGAAUUUUGGACAAUGGGGGCAACCCUGAUCCAGCCAUGCCGCGUGAGUGAAGAAGGCCUUCGGGUUGUAAAGCUCUUUCGGCCGGGAAGAAAUCGUAUCAGCUAAUACCUGGUGCGGAUGACGGUACCGGCAUAAGAAGCACCGGCUAACUACGUGCCAGCCGCCGCGGUAACAC